CCUACGGGUGGCAGCAGUGAGGAAUAUUGGUCAAUGGACGAGAGUCUGAACCAGCCAAGUAGCGUGAAGGAUGACUGCCCUAUGGGUUGUAAACUUCUUUUAUAAGGGAAUAAAACGAGCCACGUGUGCCUUUUUGUAUGUACUUUAUGAAUAAGGAUCGGCUAACUCCGUGCCAGCAGCCGCGGUAAUACGGAGGAUCCGAGCGUUAUCCGGAUUUAUUGGGUUUAAAGGGAGCGUAGAUGGGUUGUUAAGUCAGUUGUGAAAGUUUGCGGCUCAACCGUAAAAUUGCAAUUGAUACUGGCAGUCUUGAGGACAGUUGAGGUAGGCGGAAUUCGUGGUGUAGCGGUGAAAUGCUUAGAUAUCACGAAGAACCCCGAUUGCGAAGGCAGCUUACUAAACUGCGACUGACACUGAUGCUCGAAAGUGUGGGUAUCAAACAGGAUUAGAUACCCUAGUAGUC
rnacentral:rRNA from 1 species